rnacentral:misc_RNA from 1 species
UACGAAGGUACCGAGCGUUGUUCGGAAUUACUGGGCGUAAAGGGCGCGUAGGCGGCCUGUUAAGUCGAACGUGAAAUCCCCGAGCUCAACUCGGGAACUGCGUCCGAUACUGGCAGGCUUGAAUCCGGGAGAGGGAUGUGGAAUUCCAGGUGUAGCGGUGAAAUGCGUAGAUAUCUGGAGGAACACCGGUGGCGAAGGCGGCAUCCUGGACCGGUAUUGACGCGGAGGCGCGAAAGCCAGGGGAGCAAACGGG